rnacentral:rRNA from 2 species
GUCUUUUUGAAUUUAAUUUAAAGUCUAAUCUGCCCACUGAUAAUUAAAUUAAAGGGCUGCAGUAUAUUGACUGUACAAAGGUAGCAUAAUAAUUAGUCUUUUAAUUGAAGACUUGUAUGAAAGAUUUGAUGAGAUAUAAACUGUCUCUUUUUUAGAAUUAGAAUUUAAUUUUUCAGUAAAAAAGCUGAAAUUUAUUUAAAAGACGAGAAGACCCUAUAGAGUUUUAUAAUUAAUUUAAUUAUACAUUUAUAUUUAAUUUUAAAAUUAAUUAAUUUAAUUAUUUUGUUGGGGUGAUAAAAAAAUUAAAUUAACUUUUUUUUAUGUUAAACAUUAAUUAAUGAUUUUUUGAUCCAUAAUUUAUGAUUAUAAGAAAAAAUUACCUUAGGGAUAACAGCGUAAUUUUUUUUUUUAGUUCUUAUAAGAAAAAAAGUUUGCGACCUCGAUGUUGGAUUAAGAUAAAAUUUAAAUGUAGAAGUUUAAAAUUUUGAUCUGUUCGAUCAUUAAAAUCUUACA